ACAGCAGUAGCCGCGGUAAUACAGAGGGUGCGAGCGUUAAUCGGAUUUACUGGGCGUAAAGCGUGCGUAGGCGGCUUUUUAAGUCGGAUGUGAAAUCCCUUAGCUUAACUUAGGAAUUGCAUUCGAUACUGGGAAGCUAGAGUAUGGGAGAGGAUGGUAGAAUUCCAGGUGUAGCGGUGAAAUGCGUAGAGAUCUGGAGGAAUACCGAUGGCGAAGGCAGCCAUCUGGCCUAAUACUGACGCUGAGGUACGAAAGCAUGGGGAGCAAACAGGAUUAGAUACCCCUGUAGUCCCUGUCUCUUAUAC
rnacentral:rRNA from 1 species